GAUGAACGCUGGCGGCGUGCCUAAUACAUGCAAGUCGAGCGAACGGACGAGAAGCUUGCUUUUCUGAUGUUAGCGGCGGACGGGUGAGUAACACGUGGAUAACCUACCUAUAAGACUGGGAUAACUUCGGGAAACCGGAGCUAAUACCGGAUAAUAUUUUGAACCGCAUGGUUCAAACGUGAAAGACGGUCUUGCUGUCACUUAUAGAUGGAUCCGCGCUGCAUUAGCUAGUUGGUAAGGUAACGGCUUACCAAGGCAACGAGGCAUAGCCGACCUGAACGGGUGGUCGGCCACACUGGAUCAGAGGAUGGGCCCAGACACCGACGGUGGGCAGCAGCAGGGAAUCUUCCGCGAGGGACGAGAGCCGGACGGUGCAACGCCGCGGAAGGGAUGAAGGUCUACGGAUCGGAAAGCGCUGUAAUUAGGAAAGAUGAUAUGUGUAAGUAACUGUGCACAUCUUGACGGUACCGAGACAGAAAGCCACGGCUAACUACGUG
rnacentral:rRNA from 1 species